rnacentral:rRNA from 1 species
GACGAACGCUGGCGGCGUGCUUAACACAUGCAAGUCGAACGGUGAAGGGGAGCUUGCUCCCCGGAUCAGUGGCGAACGGGUGAGUAACACGUGGGCAACCUGCCCCAGACUUCGGGAUAACGCUUCGAAAGAGGUGCUAAUACCGGAUACGAACUCCUUGGGCAUCCUGGGAGUUGGAAAGUUUUUCGGUCUGGGAUGGGCCCGCGGCCUAUCAGCUAGUUGGGGAGGUAACGGCUCACCAAGGCGACGACGGGUAGCCGGCCUGAGAGGGGGACCGGCCACACUGGGACUGAGACACGGCCCAGAAUCCUACGGGAGGCAGCAGUGGGGAAUAUUGCGCAAUGGGCGAAAGCCUGACGCAGCAACGCCGCGUGAGGGAUGACGGCCUUCGGGUUGUAAACCUCUUUCAGCAGGGAAGAAGCGAAAGUGACGGUACCUGCAGAAGAAGCACCGGCUAACUACGUGCCAGCAGCCGCCGUAAUAC